AGAGUUUGAUCCUGGCUCAGAUUGAACGCUGGCGGCAUGCCUAACACAUGCAAGUCGAACGGUAACAGGCCGCAAGGUGCUGACGAGUGGCGGACGGGUGAGUAAUACGUAGGUAUCUGCCCUGUAGUGGGGGAUAACCCGGGGAAACUCGGGCUAAUACCGCAUACGCUCUUUUAUCGUUGAGAUAGGAGAGGAAAGCGAGGGACCGAAAGGCCUCGCGCUAGAGGAUGAGCCUACGCCCGAUUAGCUAGUUGGUAGGGUGAAGGCCUACCAAGGCGACGAUCGGUAGCUGGUCUGAGAGGAUGGCCAGCCACACUGGGACUGAGACACGGCCCAGACUCCUACGGGAGGCAGCAGUGGGGAAUAUUGGACAAUGGGGGAAACCCUGAUCCAGCGAUGCCGCGUGGGUGAAGAAGGCCUGCGGGUUGUAAAGCCCUUUCAGUGGGGAAGAAAAACGGGGUGUGAAAAGCGCUUCGUCUUGACGUUACCCACAGAAGAAGCACCGGCUAACUCCGUGCCAGCAGCCGCGGUAAUACGGAGGGUGCGAGCGUUAAUCGGAAUUACUGGGCGUAAAGGGCGCGUAGGCGGUUAGGUAAGUCGAGUGUGAAAGCCCUGGGCUUAACCUGGGAAUGGCAUUCGAGACCACCUAUCUAGAGUCUGGUAGAGGGAAGUGGAAUUUCCGGUGUAGCGGUGAAAUGUGUAGAUAUCGGAAGGAACACCAGUGGCGAAGGCGACUUCCUGGACCAAGACUGACGCUGAGGCGCGAAAGCGUGGGGAUCAAACAGGAUUAGAUACCCUGGUAGUCC
rnacentral:rRNA from 1 species